AAAACAAGAAACAAACAAUUUGCACCAUUUUGCACAAUGGCACAGCGGUUAGCGCUCGUUCUUCACAGCAAGAAUGUCCAGGGUUCUAUUCCCACCUGGACGGGGCCUUUCUGUGUGGAGUUUGCAUGUUCUCCCCGUGUCUGCGUAGGUCAAACUUCCCUAAAGUUUCAGAGGACGACGCGACGCACACCUACAACAUGGACCCACCUGGACCUGGCCCCGGGUCUAAACCCAGACCUAAACCUGCUCCCAGCUCUGUGUCUUUGAAAAGUGACCGGUCCAAACAAGAUCCUCCUGUCUUUAAAGAGCCGCCUCCUGAAGACCAGAGCGCCUACAUGGCCCAAACUGGACCUGGCCCCGGGUCUAAACCCAGACCUAAACCUGCUCCCAGCUCUGUGUCUCUGAAAAGUGACCACUCUAAAGGUUGGCCUCCUGACUUUAGAGAACCUCCUCCUGAAGACCAGAGGUCAGAUACGUUUUAUUCUACAUAAAUGAAGAAAACGGCUGAGAGAGGAAGCUAUCGG
rnacentral:lncRNA from 1 species